rnacentral:rRNA from 1 species
CCUACGGGGGGCAGCAGUGGGGGAUAUUGGACAAUGGGGGGAACCCUGAUCCAGCGACGCCGCGUGAGUGAAGAAGUAUUUCGGUAUGUAAAGCUCUGUCAGCAGGGAAGAAAGCAAUGACGGUACCUGACCAAGAAGCCCCGGCUAACUACGUGCCAGCAGCCGCGGUAAUACGUAGGGGGCAAGCGUUAUCCGGAAUUACUGGGAGGAAAGGGAGCGUAGACGGCUGUGCAAGUCUGGAGUGAAAGGCGGGGGCGCAACCCCCGGACUGCUCUGGAAACUGUAUGGCUUGAGUGCAGGAGAGGUAAGCGGAAUUCCUAGUGUAGCGGUGAAAUGCGUAGAUAUUAGGAGGAACACCAGUGGCGAAGGCGGCUUACUGGACUGUAACUGACGUUGAGGCUCGAAAGCGUGGGGAGCAAACAGGAUUAGAUACCCGAGUAGUC